rnacentral:rRNA from 1 species
GAUGAACGCUGGCGGCGUGCCUAAUACAUGCAAGUCGAGCGAACGGACGAGAAGCUUGCUUCUCUGAUGUUAGCGGCGGACGGGUGAGUAACACGUGGAUAACCUACCUAUAAGACUGGGAUAACUUCGGGAAACCGGAGCUAAUACCGGAUAAUAUUUUGAACCGCAUGGUUCAAAAGUGAAAGACGGUCUUGCUGUCACUUAUAGAUGGAUCCGCGCUGCAUUAGCUAGUUGGUAAGGUAACGGCUUACCAAGGCAACGAUGCAUAGCCGACCUGAGAGGGUGAUCGGCCACACUGGAACUGAGACACGGUCAAGACUCCUAAGGGAGGCAGCAGUAGGGAAUCUGACGCAAUGGGCGAAAGCAUGACGGAGCAAGGCCGCGUGAGUGAUGAAGGUCUUCGGAGCGUAAAACUCUGUUAUUAGGGAAGAACAGAUGUGGAAGUAAAUGUGCACAGAUUGACGGUAACUAAUCAGAAAGCCACGGCUAACUACGUG